GAUGAACGCUGACAGAAUGCUUAACACAUGCAAGUCAACUUGAACUUCGGUUUGUGGGGCGGACGGGUGAGUAACGCGUAAAGAACUUGCCUCACAGCUAGGGACAACAUUUGGAAACGAAUGCUAAUACCUGAGAUUAUGAUUUUAGGGCAUCCUAGAAUUAUGAAAGCUAUAUGCGCUGUGAGAGAGCUUUGCGUCCCAGUAGCUAGUUGGAGAGGUAACGGCUCACCAAGGCGAUGAUGGGUAGCCGGCCUGAGAGGGUGAACGGCCACAAGGGGACUGAGACACGGCCCUUACUCCUACGGGAGGCAGCAGUGGGGAAUAUUGGACAAUGGACCAAGAGUCUGAUCCGGCAAUUCUGUGUGAAAGAUGAAGUUUUUCGGAAUGUAAAGUGCUUUCAGUUGGGAAGAAAAAAAUGACGGUACCAACAGAAGAAGUGACGCCUAAAUCCGU
rnacentral:rRNA from 1 species